GGGAAGCUGAGGCAAGAGGAUCCCUCGAGCCUAGGAGUUUGGUCCCAGUGAGCUAUGAUCGUGCCACUGCGCUCCGGCCUGGGUGACAGAGCAAGACCCUGUUUCAAAAAUCAAUACAUAAAUACUUUCUAAGACAUAUCCUUCAAUUUCAUAGAAUUUAAUUAUCUACUCCCUAAUAUUUCUCUUGGUUGCAUUACUAGCCGGCCUACCCUCCUCUCCCUUUGUGUGUAUUCUGGCUUAAUACCGACAUGCAAAGACCAGCACUUGGCCGAACUCACUCAGAGAUUCUGAGAGCCCCUAGUGAGAACCAGUCAGUUUGAUAAGCAAAGGCUUUGCUUGGUAUCCUGGCUCCCUAGAAAAAGCUAUAGUCUGGUUACCUUAGUGACAGGGUUGUACUGAAAAGAAACAGAGAACGGUCAGGCAGCUGCACAGCCAGCCUCCUGCACACAAACGUGCUUAGAACAGGAACCCUGUUGGGGAUACAGCCCUGCUCUCCUGCUCUUUCUGCCAUCACCCCAAGAACAGCAGUGGGCGGUGGUCGCUCCCCAUCACUCCACUCCUCCGUGAUCCCCGCAUCCAUGGUUGCUCUGUCUGCUUCGUGGCUUCUGCUGCCUCGUGGCUCUAGUCUCCCUGGGUGUCCUUCAGCCUCCACCCUGCUUCUGACUGCAGACUCUUGCAUCUUAUAUUCAAAUAUCCUCUGGCUGAGCAAGCCAAUCACCACACAGAAUAGAUGGCUCUUUUGAGCAGAGCUCUGAGUCGGCCACAGGCCAGCUUAGAAACUGGCUGCACUAGGGUCAGGUGCCCCUCUCUGACCCAAUCAGCUGUGGACCAGGAUCUCAGAGUCACAUUGCACAGAACAUGACAAUCUGUGCAGCAGGAAAACCCCAGAGGGACCCUUAGGGCACAAAAAGCUUUCUAAAAUUUCCCCAGAAAAAAAGCUGUAUAACUAACCAGCAAGCACGGUGCUUGAUCUCAGUUCCACUGGAAAUAAAACUAUCAAUACAGACACAGUGUGCUCAUUUAGUGGUCUAUCUGUAUCUUACAUAGCUGGCAAGUUACUAAUGAACUCCUGUAUCUCAGCAAACACUAAGAUAAAGCUACACUCCCAAAUAAGGAUUGGAUAUUUCAUUUAAGAAUGUAUUUAUUGCUGAGCUCAGUUCUCUGAGAUAAUCCAUUCUUCCACCAGGGCAUGAAGCUUAUUUUCAAAAGUGUCCUGUUUGAAUAUUUUUACUGUUUAAUAUAUGGCAUAUUGAAUGGCAAAUUUUCUUGAGCUAUAGACAGUUGGCUAAUUUUAUGCUUGCAUUAAUCUUAACAUUUGUAAUCCUCAUGGAAAUUAACAGCUAAAAUUUCUUAUACAUCAAUUAAAGAUGGCUUUUUUUCUUGUAGUUUAUCUAGGCACAUCACUUUUUCUUUUUUUUUAAAAUAUUCAACUCAUUUUGUGAGUUCCCUGUUUGACCCUGACCCUGGUCGUGCUGACAUCUGCUAACAAUAGAGACUUUAAACCAAGCCUGGCUCUGCACAGUGCACCAGGAGACUUUUGUACGAGACGCUGAAGGCAGACUGCUUUCUUCCUCCAGCCAAGAGCUGCCUCUAAUGCUUUUCAUUGGUUCCUCUCCAGCUGGCUGUUCUCUCUUCUCUUAACAACUCAAGUUCUUUUUUCUUCUGGGUUACCUCUUUAAGGUCAAGUAGUAAAGACGCUGCCCAUCUUCAGAGGUGCUGGGAUUGGAACCCUUUUAAUUCAGGGAAGCAUUUGAUAUUCCUUUCAUGUUUGUGUUGUGUUUGGUUUGCUUUAAUUUCAAAUGAUUUAUGUAGCUAAUCUUUCCUCCAUCAAAAUCAAAGGAAAGUUGGUCUUUGCUGGGAAAUAAAAACUUGAACAAAAGCCACAUUAAAGAACAAGUAACAAGAAAGGAACUACUGUUAUGAAAGAAUUCAGGGGAAGGGACAGUUACCUACUUAUCAAUCCAGAGAGUAUCAGGAUCAGAUGGACCAGUACAAGCGUCACAACAUCAUUAAAGAACAAGGUCAGAAACCCAACUUCUGAGACGGAUAUGACCAUAUUUGCGAAGAAAUGAAAGUUCAUGUUUAAGACUAGUUUAGCCUCUUCGGGUGCUAUAACAAAGCACCGUAGACUGGGUAGGUUAUAAACCACAGAGAUUUAUUUCUCACAGUUCUGGAGGCUAGAAGUCCAGGGUGCCAGCAUGGUCGGUUCUGAUGAGGGCCCUCUCCUGGGUUGCAGAUGGCUGAUUUCUCCUUGUAUCCUCACAUCGUGGAAAGCAGGUGAGUUAGCUCUCAGGCCUCUUUUAAGGGCACUAAUCCCAUUCAUGAGGCCCCCACCCUCAUGACCUAAUCACCUCCCAAAGGGCCCACUUUCAAAUACCAUCACACUGA
rnacentral:lncRNA from 10 species